CCUACGGGUGGCAGCAGUGAGGAAUAUUGGUCAAUGGACGCAAGUCUGAACCAGCCAUGCCGCGUGCAGGAUGACGGCUCUAUGAGUUGUAAACUGCUUUUGUACGAGGGUAAACCUCGAUACGUGUAUUCCGCUGAAAGUACUGUACGAAUAAGGAUCGGCUAACUCCGUGCCAGCAGCCGCGGUAAUACGGAGGAUGCGAGCGUUAUCCGGAUUUACUGGGUGUAAAGGGAGCGUAGGCGGUACGGUAAGGUUGAUGUGAAAUGUCGGGGCCCAACCCCGGGACUGCCGUGGGAACUGUCGGGCUGGAGUGUGGGUGAGGUAGGCGGAAUGUAUGGUGUAGCGGUGAAAUGCGUAGAGAUCAUACGGAACACCGGUGGCGAAGGCAGCUUACCGGACUGUGUCUGACGUUGAGGCACGAAAGCGUGGGUAGCAAACAGGAUUAGAUACCCGGGUAGUC
rnacentral:rRNA from 1 species